GUGUGUGUGUGUGUGUAUCUAUGUGUAUGUAUGUAUGCAUGCAUACAUAAGGAAAUUAAGACAAGGUAGAAAAUGCUAAACUAACUUUAUCAUGAAGAAAAUUUUAUUACCGAUUUCAGUCUUUGCGACAUUUUCAACUUAGGGCAAAGCAUGACAAAGAAUUAAAUUGUGGAAAAA